CUCUGGUGCUCUUUGAGGCCCCUGUCCGGGUGGAUAAGGAUUUUAAAAACGCCGGAUCCAAAGAAUUUGUUUUCUGUGGUAUUAGGAUUAUAUUCAGGUGGAUGUUUUGUCUUGUUAAAAGAAUCUUGAGAUAGUGGAAUAUAUCUGUGGGUUUUAAGUUAUUUUUAUUGUUUGCCAGGAGCAUUUGUUUUAUAAUUCGAGUUAGAAUCCUCCAAGUGCAGAUCUCCUGAUCUGUGUUUAAAAUAACGAAGACAAGACUGAAAAUUCCAUUGCAGCG